GAUGAGAAGAGGAAAGAAUUUCCAAAGGAUUGUUCUCCGGGGCGAUUCAACGUGGGUUCGAAUCCCACUCUCAUCA
rnacentral:tRNA from 1 species